GUCGACGUCGGCCGGCUGCGCAGGUUAGCGCUUCAGGGUCUUCGGCCGCUGCUGUACGCAUCGUGCACGCCCCGAGGCGCGGAGUGUCGUCUCUUCUCGCCGUAGGCCGUGACGACAUGAGCAGCAAAGAAGGAUCAGGAGGGUUCAGGAAAAGGAAGCAUGACAAUUUCCCACAUAACCAGAGAAGAGAAGGGAAGGAUGUUAAUUCCUCUUCACCUGUGAUGUUGGCCUUCAAAUCAUUUCAACAGGAACUUGAUGCAAGACAUGACAAAUACGAGAGACUUGUGAAACUUAGUCGGGAUAUAACUGUUGAAAGUAAAAGGACAAUUUUUCUCCUCCACAGGAUUACAAGUGCUCCUUAUAUGGACGAAAUACUGACUGAAGCAGAAAUUAAAUUGGAUGGUGUCAGACAAAAGAUAUUGCAGGUAGCCCAGGAGCUCUCAGGAGAAGACAUGCAUCAGUUCCACAGAGCCAUUACUACAGGACUGCAGGAAUAUGUGGAGGCUGUCUCUUUUCAACACUUCAUCAAAACACGAUCACUUAUCAGUAUGGAUGAAAUUAAUAAACAAUUGAUUUUUUCAACAGAAGACAAUGGGAAAGAAAAUAAGACUGAAGAAAGUGAACAGCCUUGGUUGUGGGGAGGAUCGAUGCAUCCUAUUCGGUGGAAGCAUGAAGUCGCCUGGAGGUUUAAACCUAGCUGGAAAGGUGUGAGUGCCGCCUAGCCAGAGGAGUAGACCGUGCCGGGCACUGCCUGCUGAUACUUGGGCAAGAGAGAGGAGAGGAGAGAGAUUGAGAGAGAGCGAUUGAGAAUCCUGUUGAAUCUCUGAGGUAAAAAGUCAAGGGAAACCUUUCUGACAAAGAGAGAAGCCCGGCUGCAGCCAACUUUGUCACGAAUUAGCUCCCUGCUGCCAUCUAAGGGCACAGAUAGAGGGCCGCUCUAAGAAAGUAACACGAACCGUGAGAGGCUUCAGUGACGGAAAUUUGCGGCACAGUUCUGAGCGCAGGAUGGGCUCUUUCUGAGGCUAUGAGGAGGGCUCUGCUCCAGGCCCCUCCCCUAGUUUCUCGUGGUUUGCUGGUCAUCUUUGUUGUUCUUUGGCUGUGGAGGCGUCACCCCGAGUCUCUGCCUUCAUAUUCAUAUGGCACUCUCCCUGUGUGCAUUUCUGUCUCCAAAUUCCCCCUUUAUUAAGGACACCAGGCACAUUGGAUUAGGCCACCCUAGUCCAGUACGACGCGAUCUUAAAUAAUGACACCUGCAACAGCCUAUUUCUAAAUAUGGUUACAUUCCGAGGUGAAAGGGGUAAGAACUUCAACUCGUGGAUUUUGGUGGAGACCACGAUUCAACCCAUAAAAUUCCUUCUUUUGAAGUUCUUCCCCUACUUCACUUAUAUUUUGUUCAUGGAACGUGUCACAUUCUAUGUGGCUGUGUUGCCUCUCCUUCUAAACUGCAAGAUCCUUGAAGUCUGGUUCAUCUUCAUAUAACCUGAAGCGCCAAGCGCAGAGGAUGGAUAAAUGUUUGUCAGGGGCCUUACGUAUUUUUCGCUAUGGCUGUCAUCUCUGGUACGUAGGUUGGGCUAUACCUCCAAAUGGCAAGAGGCAGGAUUUUAUUAAAAUGGAGGCAAUACAGACUUUUUCUCUGUACCUGUCUGCAUGCAGUUACGUUUGUGUGCCCUUGUUGAAGGCAGGACAAAGUGAUUGGGUUUCAAAGUCAGGCAGACGACCCAGGCUAUGACAGUCCACGGCAUCAGCCAGGAAUAUGAGGAAGGGAAGAGAGAGAGACAGAGAGGCAGAGACAGAGAGAGAAGGAAACAAGUAUGCCUUUCAGAGGUCCUGCAGGGUAUGAAGGGAGGGAGUGAGCAUGAAAACAAAACCAAUUACCGGUAACCAGGAUACAUGGUAAAGGGGCAAAAUAUCUGUGCCAGUGUCUGUGCCAGCGUCUAUGCCAGCCCAAGGGUCUGGGCGACACAAGCACACGUGCCAGAAGCAAGAAGCGAAUUUGAUGAUGAGCCAGGCCGUUGCCUUUUUCCAGAAAGCUUGCAUCACUGUGAAGGAAGUCCAGCCGAUCUGGGCCCCUCAGCGGGAGGAGGGGAAGCAUGUGGCUGGAGCAGGGAAGGUGGCUCAUCUUGCCCCCGCCAGCCUCAGCAGCCGGUGCCUGGCUCACAGAGGGGUGGCCUUCAUUUGCUGUUCAUUCAAAGUACUGAACUAGACAACUAGAAAAGAAGAAUUAAGUCAUGGUCCCUUCACUCGAGGCUUACAGAUUUACAGGGAAUAAAACACAGUCAAGAAAAAGUAAACAGCCAUCCAGUGGUUGCCUGCUAAGUACUAGGAAGUUCCAAAGUUAGUGGGAAAGGGGGCCUCUCUGGUGAGGGAGAGUCUAUCUCAAAGUGUGGUCCUUGGACGGUGGCAUCCGUGUCACCGGGAGCUUGUUAGAAAUGCAGCUUUUCAGGCUGCACUCCAGACUUCCUAAAUCAGGGUCUCUGGAGAUGGGACCAAGGAAUCUGCAUUUAAGCAGUGAGGGGGGUGGAUUCUUAAGCUUAUUGAAGUUUAGGAGGCACUGCACUUAGGAGUAGUGGGCACGAUGGGAAUCGAACCAGGAGGCAGGAAGGGAAAGGGGGAGAUGCAGAUAAAGAGUAAGUGAGUAGGAGAGUGAUGUAGGGGUCUGAUGGCGAACUUAAAACUUUCAAAGCCUUUGUUUAGGAACUCAGGAGUCUGCAGGAGUAGCGAACAGGGUGAGUAGGAGAGCAGCACGCAUCUCUGGAAUGCCAGAACUUGGCUUUAUCAUUUCGAUUAGCAUUUCCCAAAAACCUAUUCCUCAGAGAUGCUCCAUGAAGAAAGGGUUCCAAGAGCAGAUACAUUUGGGAAACAUUGGAUUCUGUUCAUGCCUCCUGGAGAUUUACAGUACACGUGAGCACAUUAAAGGCAUUAAAAUUCCUUUAAAA